rnacentral:rRNA from 1 species
GACGAACGCUGGCGGCGUGCUUAACACAUGCAAGUCGAACGGAAAGGCCCUGCUUUUGUGGGGUGCUCGAGUGGCGAACGGGUGAGUAACACGUGAGUAACCUGCCCUUGACUUUGGGAUAACUUCAGGAAACUGGGGCUAAUACCGGAUAGGAGCUCCUGCUGCAUGGUGGGGGUUGGAAAGUUUCGGCGGUUGGGGAUGGACUCGCGGCUUAUCAGCUUGUUGGUGGGGUAGUGGCUUACCAAGGCUUUGACGGGUAGCCGGCCUGAGAGGGUGACCGGCCACAUUGGGACCGAGGUUCCGCCCCGACUCCUUCGGGGGGCAAGAGGUGGGAAUAUUGCACAAUUGGCGGAAGCCUGAUGCAGCAACGCCGCGUGCGGGAUGACGGCCUUCGGGUUGUAAACCGCUUUCGCCUGUGACGAAGCGUGAGUGACGGUAAUGGGUAAAGAAGCACCGGCUAACUACGUG